rnacentral:rRNA from 1 species
GAGCUUGAUCCUGGCUCAUAACGAACGCUGGCGCCGUGCCUAAUACAUGCAAGUUGCGCGAGAACGUACCCUUCUGGGAGCGAGUAAAGCGUCAAACGGAUGAGCAACGCGUAGGCAGUCUGGCUCUAAGUCUGGUAUAUCCCUGCCAACCGCGGGGGUAAUACCGGAUGUGAUCUUGGGAUCUCAUGUUUCCUUGAUUAAAGGUGACCUCUUCUUGAAAGUUACUGCUUAGAGAUGAGCUUGCGGACCAUUAGCUUGUUGGUGGGGUAACGGCCUACCAAGGCUGCGAUGGUUAGCCGACCUGAGAGGGUGAUCGGCCACAUUGGGACUGAGAUACGGCCCAGACUCCUACGGGAGGCAGCAGUAGGGAAUUUUGCGCAAUGGACGAAAGUCUGACGCAGCAACGCCGCGUGAGGGAUGGCGGUCUUCGGAUUGUAAACCUCUGUUGAGUGGGAAGAAAAAGCCUAUGGCUAAUAUCCAUAGGCCCUGCCGGUACCAUUCGAGGAAGCCCCGGCUAACUACGUGCCAGCAGCCGCGGUAAUACGUAGGGGGCAAGCGUUGUUCGGAAUCCCUGGGCGUAAAGGGAGUGUAGGCGGAAAUGUAAGUUAGGAGUUAAAGACUCGGGCUCAACCCGGGGGCUGCUCUUAAUACUGUAUUUCUUGAGUAUGGGAGAGGGUAAUGGAAUUCCAGGUGUAGCGGUGGAAUGCGUAGAUAUCUGGAAGAACCCCAGUUGCGAAGGCGGUUACCUGGCCCAAUACUGACGCUGAGGCUCGAAAGCGUGGGGAGCAAACAGGAUUAGAUACCCUGGUAGUC